UACGUAGGCAGCAAGCGUUGUUCGGAGUUACUGGGCGUAAAGAGUAUGUAGGCGGUUGCGUAAGUUCGGUGUGAAAUCUCCCGGCUUAACUGGGAGGGUGCGCCGAAAACUGCGUGGCUUGAGUGCGGGAGAGGAGAGCGGAAUUCCUGGUGUAGCGGUGAAAUGCGUAGAUAUCAGGAGGAACACCGGCGGUGUAGACGGCUCUCUGGACCGUUACUGACGCUGAGAUACGAAAGCGUGGGUAGCAAACAGG
rnacentral:rRNA from 1 species